rnacentral:rRNA from 1 species
UACAGAGGUCUCAAGCGUUGUUCGGAUUCAUUGGGCGUAAAGGGCGCGUAGGCGGCCAACUAAGUCGGAUGUGAAAUCCCCAGGCUCAACUUGGGAACUGCAUCCGAUACUGGUCGGCUUGAAUCCGGGAGAGGGAUGCAGAAUUCCAGGUGUAGCGGUGAAAUGCGUAGAUAUCUGGAGGAAUACCGGUGGCGAAGGCGGCAUCCUGGACCGGCAUUGACGCUGAUGUGCGAAGGCUAGGGGAGCAAACGGG